ACGAACGCUGGCGGCGUGCUUCACCCAUGCAAGUCGAACGGAAAGGCCCCUUUGGGGGUACUCGAGUGGCGAACGGGUGAGUAACACGUGAGUAACCUGCCCUUGACUUCGGGAUAACUUCAGGAAACUGGGGCUAAUACCGGAUAGGAAUCCUUGCUGCAUGGUGGGGGUUGGAAAGCUUCGGCGGUUUUGGAUGGACUCGCGGCUUAUCAGCUUGUUGGUGGGGUAGUGGCUUACCAAGGCUUUGACGGGUAGCCGGCCUGAGAGGGCGACCGGCCACAUUGGGACUGAGAUACGGCCCAGACUCCUACGGGAGGCAGCAGGGGGGAAUAUUGCACAAUGGGCGGAAGCCUGAUGCAGCAACGCCGCGUGCGGGAUGACGGCCUUCGGGUUGUAAACCGCUUUCAGCAGGGGCGAAGCUUGUGGUGACGGUACCUGCAGAAGAAGCACCGGCUAACUACGUG
rnacentral:rRNA from 1 species